UACGGGGGGGGUAAGCGUUGUUCGGAAUUACUGGGCGUAAAGGGCUCGUAGGCGGCCAACUAAGUCAGACGUGAAAUCCCUCAGCUUAACUGGGGAACUGCGUCUGAUACUGGAUGGCUUGGAUUCGGGAGAGGAAUGCGGAAUUCCAGGUGUAGCGGUGAAAUGCGUAGAUAUCUGGAGGAACACCGGUGGCGAAGGCGGCAUUCUGGACCGACAUUGACGCUGAGGAGCGAAAGCCAGGGGAG
rnacentral:rRNA from 1 species